AGAUGUAACGCCAUGGGGUAGGAAGCCCGGAAACUUCUCCGUUUAAUGCUACAGCUCAAGGCUUGAGAAGAAUCAGUUUCCAUUAAGAUGAAGCCAAGGAAUGUCCCUAGGGAACAUGCUACUUGACACCACUUCCUAAGGAAUGAGACAACCAAGACCCACAAGAAAUGGUCUGCACAAGGUGACCCAACCUCUGAAGUAGGAGGGACAAGAGUGAGCCAGGUCUUCUUCACCCACACCUCAUACAAAAGCAACGAAACUUCACAUGGAAUUACUUCAUUCCUAACACAAGACCAAACUCACAACAAAAUCCACGCCUUUCAGACCAUUUCCAAAGGACGGCAUCUGAGAAGGACUGGCAGACAGUCCUGAAGCAUGAAGACCCACACAGUCAGAUCCAGCAGCUGGAAAAAAUGAAAAAUAAAACCACUAAAAUUUUGUUUUACAUAAUUAAUUUAUUGAUUUCUUAUUGAGAGUGCCAAAGGCAACCCUUCUAAUGAUAUUUUGGCUACAACUUGCAGACAAGGAUAGCUCCUUGGGAAACUAGAGACAAGAUGAUACAUGAUGCCCCAAUAUCUAGGUGUGCCAUUGAGACAGAAUUAAAGUAGAGCCUUUGAGAGUUUGGAAUCUGGUUAACUUUUAUGAAACAGCCUCUGCAGAAGAGGAAGCUAGGAAGCUUCAUUCUUGCUACUGUGUAAUAUGAAAUAUUGUCUAUUGGAAUGUUUACACCUAAGACCAAGGAAAGAAUGACUUUUUAAGUAAAAUGAAGAAGGUAGGAGUGGGGGGAAGGUUCAGUUAGUAAAAUGCACGCCUAGUAAGCAAAGGACUUGUGUGCACACCGUAGAGCUUACGUAAAAAGUCCAGACAUGACGGCAUGUGUUUGCAAUCUCAGCACAGGGCAGACAGAGACUUGAAGCUCCCUGGGCUUCACUGACCAGUCAUCCCAAUCUACUUGCCAAGCUCCAGCCACUGAGAGACUUUGUCUC